rnacentral:rRNA from 1 species
GUGGGGAAUAUUGGGCAAUGGGCGAAAGCCUGACCCAGCAACGCCGCGUGAAGGAAGAAGGUUUUCGGAUCGUAAACUUCUAUCCUUGGUGAAGAUAAUGACGGUAGCCAAGAAGGAAGCCCCGGCUAACUACGUGCCAGCAGCCGCGGUAAUACGUAGGGGGCAAGCGUUGUCCGGAAUGAUUGGGCGUAAAGGGCGCGUAGGCGGCCUGGUAAGUCUGGAGUGAAAGUCCUGCUUUUAAGGUGGGAAUUGCUUUGGAUACUGUCGGGCUUGAGUGCAGGAGAGGUAAGUGGAAUUCCCGGUGUAGCGGUGAAAUGCGUAGAGAUCGGGAGGAACACCAGUGGCGAAGGCGACUUACUGGACUGUAACUGACGCUGAGGCGCGAAAGUGUGGGGAGCAAACAGGAUUAGAUACCCGGGUAGUCC